GACGAACGCUGGCGGCGUGCUUAACACAUGCAAGUCGAACGGAAAGGCCCUGCUUUUGUGGGGUGCUCGAGUGGCGAACGGGUGAGUAACACGUGAGUAACCUGCCCUUGACUUUGGGAUAACUUCGGGAAACUGGGGCUAAUACCGGAUAGGAGCUCUUGCUGCAUGGUGGGGGUUGGAAAGUUUCGGCGGUGGGGGAUGGACUCGCGGCUUAUCAGCUUGUUGGUGGGGUAGUGGCUUACCAAGGCUUUGACGGGUAGCCGGCCUGAGAGGGUGACCGGCCACAUUGGGACUGAGAUACGGCCCAGACUCCUACGGGAGGCAGCAGUGGGGAAUAUUGCACAAUGGGCGGAAGCCUGAUGCAGCAACGCCGCGUGCGGGAUGACGGCCUUCGGGUUGUAAACCGCUUUCGCCUGUGACGAAGCGUGAGUGACGGUAAUGGGUAAAGAAGCACCGGCUAACUACGUG
rnacentral:rRNA from 1 species